rnacentral:lncRNA from 1 species
AAAACAGGCCACAGGGCCCGUAUCUAUGGGACAUUACAUAACUCUAUCCUGUUCACAUCUCCAUUACUCUUCUCUCCUCUCCCCAAGUCAGCCUAAGAAGAUGUCUUCUACUUGAGUGUCAAGGAAGCCCCCUAUCCUUCAAGGUGCUUCUUUUCAAUGUCCUAUCCAUGCCCAAUACCCAAAGUAGCUCUAUUAUCCUGAGAAGAAGAAGCCAGGAAGAACCUUUCUGCUCUGCUUUUCAACCUGUCAUGAACUUCCCCUAAGGAAAUAAGCACAGAGGAUGAUCUUACUUGAAGGGAGAAGGAGAGUGCCAGCCAGAGAAAAGCAGGAGAUAUAGGCUCCCACUUGUACUAGCAGCCACUUUGUGACUCAAGGCAGAGAUAAUCAACACGUGGAGAAUGAUACCGAAAUAGACUGGGAGGCCUGAUCAUCUCAUGUCCUCAACAAUUCCUCUCUGGACUUUCAGCUGCACAAACCAACAAAUUCACUUAUUUUAAAC